GCAAGGGCAGCACCACCACGAGCUCCACCUCCAUCGCGCCUCCUCUCUCGCUCUCUCUGCCAUCGCUAGUCGCCGCCGCUUGACGCUGCUCCUCCUGCGCGCGACUUCGGUGAGUGCUGCAGCCAGUUUUGGUCGAUCCAGUGAAUGCUCUUUCAUUUCGUUCCAUUGAGAUUGGUUGAAGGCCAGUCGAUUUGGUUUCGUCACCGAUCAAGCAAACUCGGACAAUAAUAUUUUGUUUGGAGGAUUAUAAAAUUCAGAAAUGCGAGGACAAAGGUUGGAAGCAUGUGGCUAGAAAGGCAGUCCUUUUAGAGGACAAUAAAGAACUGUAAUAGAUGGAAAGAAGAAUCGUGGAGUCUAAUUGAAUGAACGAGAUAUGGUUCGAUAGGAGUAAUAAUCAUUGUAUCAAAU